AGCGAACGCUGGCGGCAGGCCUAACACAUGCAAGUCGAACGGAUCCUUCGGGAUUAGUGGCGGACGGGUGAGUAACACGUUGGAACGUGCCCUUUGGUUCGGAACAACUCAGGGAAACUUGAGCUAAUACCGGAUGUGCCCUUCGGGGGAAAGAUUUAUCGCCAUUGGAGCGGCCCGCGUCUGAUUAGCUAGUUGGUGAGGUAACGGCCCACCAAGGCGACGAUCAGUAGCUGGUCUGAGAGGAUGAUCAGCCACACUGGGACUGAGACACGGCCCAGACUCCUACGGGAGGCAGCAGUGCGGAAUCUUGCGCAAUGGGCGAAAGCCUGACGCAGCCAUGCCGCGUGAAUGAUGAAGGUCUUAGGAUUGUAAAAUUCUUUCAGCGGGGACGAUAAUGACGGUACCCGCAGAAGAAGCUCCGGCUAACUUCGUG
rnacentral:rRNA from 1 species